CGGCAGCGCGCCACGCGGCCGCCCGCGGAGUCUGCCCGCGGCGUCGCCAGCGUCUCUGGCGGCCAGUGCGGCGGCGGCGCUGCGACGCGGAGGGACGCAGAUGGCAGUGACGAUCAAGCCCUCGAUGGACGAACUCAUCUGGGGUCCCAUUACGAUGUAUGCAGUCCUUCGUUCAUUUGCUGUGGCAGCGGUGAUCGACUUCGUCGGUGCUUGUGAAAGCUGCCAAAAAUUGUCACCUCAAGCUAAUGAGUAGGAGUGUGUGAGGUACAACUGUGAAAAACUGGUGCUGACUAUGAUCGCUGAAUACAGUGAUGAAGUGUAGAAAGAUCGCCUAGUAAUUAUUUGGUAAGAGAAGCUAUCUGAGCAUCUAGAUAUGAUAAGAGCUCAGUAGGUGGGAACAGUUCAAAACCUAUUCAUAAUUCGUUGUUAUACGUAUGAGGCAGGAGAUAGAGAGAAGAGGCCUUGACGGAAAGACAUCGAUCACUCAUAUAUGAAAUUGGAUUGUAUGAAACUAAUUUUAGCUGUGUAACGAAUAAAGUAUGCACAACAAA